AACGAACGCUGGCGGCAUGCCUAACACAUGCAAGUCGAACGAGACCUUCGGGUCUAGUGGCGAACGGGUGCGAAACGCGUGGGAAUCUGCCCUUGGGUUCGGAAUAACAGUUGGAAAAGACUGCUAAUACCGGAUGAUGACGUAAGUCCAAAGAUUUAUCGCCCAAGGAUGAGCCCGCGUAGGAUUAGCUAGUUGGUGAGGUAAAGGCUCGCCAAGGCGACGAUCCUUAGCUGGUUUGAGAGGAGGAUCAGCCGCACUGGGACUGAGACACGGCCCAGACGCGUACGAGAGGCAGCAGUUGUUACUAUUUGAGAAUGAGCGAAAGCCUGAUCCAGCAAUGCCGCGUGAGUGAUGAAGGCCUUAGGGUUGUAAAUCUGUAUUACCCGAGAUGAUAAUGACAGUACCGGGAGAAUAAGCACCGGCUAACUCCGUG
rnacentral:rRNA from 1 species